CAAUAAUUACCCAUCAGUCGUUUGUCGAUCGCGAUCUGUGCGGUUUCCCCGCCGACUGACACUGGAACAGGAUGGCUGCGCUGUCGCGACUUCUAUGUCCUGGCCUAUGUUCGGGUCGUACGGUAGUUGGCCUUGACAAAAUAGAUCCGUUCAGCUUAUUUUGCGCUGGACGCCUCUUCCAGACGUUGUAGAGAAAACGCACUCGUACGACAGAUGGAGAUUCUGGUUGGCGGCGACCUUCCUCAGGGAGAGACACAAGUUAUUGAUCACGAAACUAUCGUUAAAUCUUCUAUUGGUAUUUGACUAAAUCCUGCUAACCACAUAUUAUCAAUUUCGUCGAUACGACCUUAGCGACUGAUAAAAAGCAAUGAUCGUAAUAAUGUGUAGCAAUAAAAAUCUAUUAAUAAUUCUCGACGCAAUUCAUAGUGUUAUAAUAUGUAUAUAUAUAUACAAUUAUUUACACGAUAUAAUGAUUAUAAAUCGUAAAUUAUGAUUACCAACCUUCAGUAUAUUAAAACAAAUGUAUUUCUCAUUUUUUCUUCACGGGUUCAUUUCACUGUUAAAUCAUAAAUCAUAAUCUAAACAUUUUAAACAUAGAACCGGUAGAAUAACAUAUAACCGCAUACAGAAAAACAAAUUUAAAAAAUGUAGGCUUGAAAGUUAAAUUAAGAAAAUUUUAACUUCUAGCUAAUUUAUUAAAAAAAAUUUUUUAUAGAAGCCAUUAAGUAGGUGGUAUAUACUCAAUUGAGAACUUAACAAUUACAGUCAAAUAAAACAAAAUUACUAACUGCAAAAUUUAAAGUAUUAAGUUAACAAUACAUCAAUACUUUGAUUAUACGUAUAAUGAAGCCAGCCUUCAAAAUAAAAGUGAUUUUUAUAAAUAAUUUCUCCAUAAGUUAAUUAUUUUUUUAUACAACUCCCGACUCCUAUCAUUGGUUUUGAUACUUUGUUUUCCAGCCAUAGAUUCUUGAUUUGAAAUAGUAACCGGCCUACUCCUGAGAUUUACUCAUCUGGUUGAAAUGUUGAUUUUCAAUCGAUUACGUUCGAUCUUUACCAUUACAAAUAUUAUACUGAUACAGUGGUUCCAAUUUACAUAAAAUGUGCAAUAAUAAACUGGAUUGAUUUAAUGGUUCCGGUAGAAAAGUGCUGCUGGGCAUUUAAAUUUUGAAUCAGUUUUAUCAAGAAGUUUCCGUUUACAGAAAUUUUCAUUGACAUCUUACACUUACACCAUGGUCUUAGAAGAUGAGGUACUCAACUCUACCUUAUCAGUGUUCCGCUUAAUUUUUCAGAUAUGCUUCAAAUGUUGUUGCUGUAAAAUUGAGGGCUGCCAGUUAUACUAUUUAAGGCGCAUGAUUGGAUGCCUAUUUACUACUGUGUCAACAAAUUGCCGAGUAGAUCAGAUGCAUACCUUAAAGGUCUUCUACGGUUUUACUGAAGAAGAAGAUUACAAUAAUUACUGUUGGGCAAGUUGUCUUAAGCACAUUUUAACAUAAUACAUUAAUAUUAUGACACCCUCAGUCAAUAUGAUAAACAAUCUAGCUUCAAAAUCCUGCAUAUCUUUGUGGGCAUUGAUCACUUAAGAAAUAUGGACAUAAUGCUUAUUUUGGAUCCAGCAAAUCAGAAUUACGGGUAUAAUAAUAUUAAAAAUAAUAUAUUUUCUGGUCUGUGGUAUUAAGAAAAUUAAUUGAAGUACCUAUUAAACCAAAACAAUCACCUGCGUUUUGAGGUCUACUAGUAUUCAACAUUUUACAUUGAUUUAAGAAACAAGAGUUUUUAGAUGACUGGUGUGGUGGCGCAGCUGGGAAUUAACAUUUUGAAUACGAUCAAAAAGUUUACGUUUUCUGACAGUUUCAUUGACACUAUACUCGUAAUAUGAUGAACAAUCCACCCUCAAAAUCCUGUAUAUUUUCGUUGGAAUUGAUGACUCAAGAAAUGUAAUUACUUAAAAAUUGAGUUUAAUGUAUGUAUAUAUAACGACUCACUUUUUUUUCCAUAUGAACAAAAUGACGAUUUCGGGUAGGCAAAGUGAAGAUAUGGUUACAAUAAUAUUAAUAUAUAUUCUAUUCACAGUUAAAAUGUAUGUAAUAUAUAUAUUAACUUUAAUGAUUUCAUUCUGAUAAAGCAUGCUUAUAAUAUUUCUUAAUCGUGGUCUUGCAAGCAUAUACUUUUGAAAUGUGUAUUAAUGGAUAUAAUUGGAUAUGUACAAGAUGAUUUUUUAAGGAUGCUCACUAGCAGCAGAGGAGUAGUAGUGUUCACACAGAUCCUCCUCUGUUGUCGGUUCAAACGAAAAAAAAAAAAAAAAGGAUGCUCACUUCCAUUUUACCCUCUAAUAGUACAUUCAUUCAUGUUUCUGAUAUGUACACAGCAUUCUGUGGCGA